rnacentral:lncRNA from 1 species
GUUCCAUAUGGGUCAUACUAGACCAAAGUCAUAGUAUUGGGAGGCUAUGUUCCUUUCUGGAGAUUCUAUGAAAUAAUUUCUUUCCCGUUCAGUUAGACUAUUGGCAGAAUUCAGUUCCUUGUGGUUGUAGGAUUGAGGUAGUGUUCUUGCUCUGUAAUAUGAGGGCCAUUCCCAGCUUGUAGAGGACGCCAUAUUUACUGGCUCAAUGCCACCUUCUUCCCCUUCAAAGUCAGC